AUGAGCCAAGUUGUUACCAGAAUGAGGGGCACACCUGGAUAUUUAGCUCCUGAAUGGUUGACAUCACAGAUCACGGAAAAGGCCGAUAUCUACAGCUUCGGCGUCGUGGUCAUGGAAAUCAUCAGUGGAAGAAAGAACCUCGACACUUCCCGGUCAGAAGAGAGCAUCCAUCUCAUAAGCCUAUUGGAGGAAAAGGUAAACAGUGAUCGGUUGGUAGAUUUGAUUGACAAUAACAGCAACGACAUGCAAGCACACAAGCAAGAUGCAAUUCAGAUGAUGAUGCUUGCAAUGUGGUGCUUGCAGAUUGAUUGCAAAAAAAGGCCUAAACUGUCUGAGGUUGUAAACGUAUUGGAAGGUGUCAUGACCGCAGACCUCAACAUAGAGCAUAAUUUUGUUGUAACAACUCCAGCAAAUUUUGGUAGCACAGGAAAUGUGAGCUCUUCAGCUCCACAUCUAGCUUCAGAUGUAUCAGGCCCCAGGUGA
rnacentral:rRNA from 1 species